UACAGAGGUCCCAAGCGUUACUGAGAAUCACUGGGUUUAAAGGGUGCGUAGGUGGUCCGUUAAGUCAGUUGUGAAAUCCCCGGGCUCAACCCGGGAACUGCUUCUGAUACUGGCGGACUUGAGGCCAGUAGGGGUCACUAGAACUGACGGUGGAGCGGUGAAAUGCGUAGAUAUCGGAAGGAACGCCGGUGGCGAAAGCGCACGACUGGUCCUCUUCUGACGCUGAGGCGCGAAAGCCAGGGGAGCAAACGGG
rnacentral:rRNA from 1 species